rnacentral:tRNA from 1 species
GCCUGGCAGCUCAAUCGGGUAGAAGCGUGAGACUUUAUUCCCAAGGUCAUUCUCAAGGCUGUGGGUUCAAGCCCCACGUCGGGCU